rnacentral:rRNA from 1 species
CUUGGUCAUUUAGAGGAAGUAAAAGUCGUAACAAGGUUUCCGUAGGUGAACCUGCGGAAGGAUCAUUAGUGAACGCCCUCACGGGCUUAUAACUAUUCCAAACCUCUGUGAACCGUGCCCUUCGGGGCUAUUUUACAAACAUGGUGUAAUGAACGUCAUAUAUCAUAACAAAACAAAACUUUCAACAACGGAUCUCUUGGCUCUCGCAUCGAUGAAGAACGCAGCGAAAUGCGAUAAGUAAUGUGAAUUGCAGAAUUCAGUGAAUCAUCGAAUCUUUGAACGCACCUUGCGCCCUCUGGUAUUCCGGAGGGCAUGCCUGUUUGAGUGUCAUGUAGACUCAAUCCCUCGGGUUUCCGAGGAGAUUGGACUUGGGUGUUGCCGCUCUGCCGGCUCGCCUUAAAAGACUUAGCGGGAUAGCACCGUAGUCGGCGUAAUAAGUUUCGUCGGUGAAGGUUGUGAUGACUGCUUACAAUCGCCCUCGGGCAAUUUUUGACUCUGACCUCAAAUCAGGUAGGGAUACCCGCUGAACUUAAGCAUAUCAAUAAGCGGAGGA